GCAUGAUCCGCGAGACGUGCAGCCGCACCGGGACGCUCCGGUCUUUGAAGGCGGUGGUGAUGAAGCAGCCGAAGGUGCUGACUAACUUGCUAAUUUGAUAGAAAUCACAAAAUGAGAAAUAUCUGUUGGUGACUGGCGCUGCUGCCUAAAAUCCCAAAUGAUUUAAUGGUUUCAAUAAUUGGAUGCAUUUUUUAGAUGAUACAGUAUAACAGGUUUGUGGCUGCUCUUCAUGAAGCUAGAAUGGCUCAUGCGAGGCGCUCUCAGCAAACAGCCCUUGGGCAGUAUCUUCCUGAAGAAAGACACAAGGUCAUCAACAAGAGAGAUGUCACGGGACACAGGCUCUUGCUGAUCGACCUCUGAAUGCAUUUUCUUAGCUAUGGAUAUCAACAGAUAUUACUAUGUCAGGAAUUGGAGCAGCAUUAAUUGGAAGCACAGAUUUUAGGAGAAUAUCACAGUUACUUUUAAACAGUGCACGGCAGCCAGGAGCUGAUACUACUAGCAAACGCUACUAAGAUUCUAAACUUAAAAUCAAAACUACCUAAAUUCUGCAUUUAAGUAUAUGAGAGCUAAUCUUUGUUGUCAAUUUGACUACAUCUUAAAUCAACUAAAAUCCAAGCCACUGGCCAUUCUUGUGAGGGACUUUUGCCAUUAGACCAUUUGAACCCGAAAGGCCUACCUACAUCUAGGUGAUCCUUUCUGUGGUAAUCAAGAAAAUAAAUGACAUGAAAGAAGAAAA